AGGACGAACGCUGGCGGCGUGCCUAACACAUGCAAGUCGAACGAGGUCCAAGCCGUGGCAACACGGUGGACGACCUAGUGGCGAACGGGUGAGUAACACGUGAGGAACUUGCCCCAGAGACCGGGAUAACCCUCCGAAAGGGGAGCUAAUACCGGAUGUUCUCACCGAACCGCAUGGUUUGGUGAGGAAAUGGAUUCCGCUCUGGGAGAGCCUCGCGGCCUAUCAGCUAGUUGGUGAGGUAACGGCUCACCAAGGCGUCGACGGGUAGCUGGUCUGAGAGGACGAUCAGCCACACUGGGACUGAGACACGGCCCAGACUCCUACGGGAGGCAGCAGUGGGGAAUCUUGCGCAAUGGGCGAAAGCCUGACGCAGCAACGCCGCGUGCGGGAUGGACGGCCCUCGGUGUAAACCGCGUUUCAGUGGGACGAACCGAAGACGGUACCCACAGAAGAAGCCCCGACAACUACG
rnacentral:rRNA from 1 species